rnacentral:rRNA from 1 species
GAAAGCUUGCUCUCGGGUGACGAGCGGCGGACGGGUGAGUAAUGUCUGGGAAACUGCCUGAUGGAGGGGGAUAACUACUGGAAACGGUAGCUAAUACCGCAUAACGUCGCAAGACCAAAGUGGGGGACCUUCGGGCCUCAUGCCAUCAGAUGUGCCCAGAUGGGAUUAGCUAGUAGGUGGGGUAACGGCUCACCUAGGCGACGAUCCCUAGCUGGUCUGAGAGGAUGACCAGCCACACUGGAACUGAGACACGGUCCAGACUCCUACGGGAGGCAGCAGUGGGGAAUAUUGCACAAUGGGCGCAAGCCUGAUGCAGCCAUGCCGCGUGUGUGAAGAAGGCCUUCGGGUUGUAAAGCACUUUCAGCGGGGAGGAAGGCGUUAAGGUUAAUAACCUUGGCGAUUGACGUUACCCGCAGAAGAAGCACCGGCUAACUCCGUGCCAGCAGCCGCGGUAAUACGGAGGGUGCAAGCGUUAAUCGGAAUUACUGGGCGUAAAGCGCACGCAGGCGGUCUGUCAAGUCGGAUGUGAAAUCCCCGGGCUCAACCUGGGAACUGCAUUCGAAACUGGCAGGCUAGAGUCUUGUAGAGGGGGGUAGAAUUCCAGGUGUAGCGGUGAAAUGCGUAGAGAUCUGGAGGAAUACCGGUGGCGAAGGCGGCCCCCUGGACAAAGACUGACGCUCAGGUGCGAAAGCGUGGGGAGCAAACAGGAUUAGAUACCCUGGUAGUCCACGCCGUAAACGAUGUCGAUUUGGAGGUUGUGCCCUUGAGGCGUGGCUUCCGGAGCUAACGCGUUAAAUCGACCGCCUGGGGAGUACGGCCGCAAGGUUAAAACUCAAAUGAAUUGACGGGGGCCCGCACAAGCGGUGGAGCAUGUGGUUUAAUUCGAUGCAACGCGAAGAACCUUACCUGGUCUUGACAUCCACAGAACUUUCCAGAGAUGGAUUGGUGCCUUCGGGAACUGUGAGACAGGUGCUGCAUGGCUGUCGUCA